rnacentral:rRNA from 1 species
AUUAAACGCUGGCGGCAUGCCUUACACAUGCAAGUCGAACGGCAGCACGGGGUGGUAACACUCUGGUGGCGAGUGGCGGACGGGUGAGUAAAGCAUCGGAACGUGCCCUGGAAUGGGGGAUAACGUAGCGAAAGUUACGCUAAUACCGCAUAUUCUGUGAGCAGGAAAGCAGGGGAUCGCAAGACCUUGCGUUCGAGGAGCGGCCGAUGUCGGAUUAGCUAGUUGGUGGGGUAAAGGCCUACCAAGGCGACGAUCCGUAGCGGGUCUGAGAGGAUGAUCCGCCACACUGGGACUGAGACACGGCCCAGACUCCUACGGGAGGCAGCAGUGGGGAAUUUUGGACAAUGGGCGCAAGCCGUGAUCCAGCCAUGCCGCGUGAGUGAAGAAGGCCUUCGGGUUGUAAACUGCUUUUGUACGGACGAAAAGGUACGUUUUCUAAUAAGAAGGCUGAUGACGGUACCGUAAGAAUAAGCACCGGCUAACUACGU